UUCUAAUAACCUGACUAUCCACAAUAAUCUCCUUAUUGUGUGCAUGUUACCGUUCUCAUUCAUGAAUGCAUCGAUCUAUCUAUUUCCAUAGAAGGUGUCAGGAGCGGGAACCAUCUCAGCGCAGCAGGCCAGUACAGGCCAGGGGUGGAGUGGAGCUGGAAAGGAUGGUGGGGAGUCUGGCAGUGUGGUCCUGAAGAUCUCAGUGCUCCUGGUGAAUGCCUUAGUGGACCCUUCUCAGGGCCGGGUCAACAAAACCAUACACACACCUGAGCUGGACAUUAGUCUGCAGGUAAUGGAGGCCAACAGUACAGACACCUCUUCCCUCUCAGCCAGGGGAAACACCAUGGACAUCAACCUAAAGGCUCUGGCCAGAAACAAUAAUGGUACAGCAUCAGCAGUAUUCCUGACAGUCAGUGGGAUGGAGAGCCUUCUGGGUGCUAGCUUCUUGCAGACAGAAAACCACACAGAGAUGUUGUCUGAUGUCAUCACCGCCACACUGCCCAAGAUCAACCACACCCAGCUCUCUGAGCCUGUCAACUUUACCAUGAGCCAC